rnacentral:misc_RNA from 1 species
GUGAAUCAUCGAAUCUUUGAACGCAAAUUGCACUCUCCGGUUUUCCGGGAGAGUAUGCCUGUUUGCGGGUCUGUUUAAAAAAUAAUCGAGGCUGCUGCUGUGGAGGCGCUUCGGAAUUGGGCGAUCUUACACCUUUCGGGGUUGUAAGCGACAUGAAAUAUUUCUUACGAUAUCUACGAACGUGUCUAAGAAUGUAUUGUACGUUCGCGAACUCG